rnacentral:lncRNA from 1 species
CUAUUUGGAAAAUAACAUUCUCUGUUCCCUAUUUUUCUCCCUUUUCAGUGGAAUAGUGUCAUUGCUGUUAUCCCUUCAGGUAUGCAGUGGAUUGGAUCAUGGUCACUUCCCAGAGGCAUUUUGAUUCCCAACAGGAGAUACACAGCUCAGACCUAAAUGCUAAAGAACUAUGUUCAGAAUGGGACCAGACUCAUUCCUGCUGCAAUCCCAGCUCUUCUGUAAGUGCACAUUGGUCAGCUCUUGUUCCAAAGAAGCUUCCAUAGCACUUUGGCAAAAACUUUAUUCUUAGUCACCAAAGAGAUAUUGAAAUGAAUGGUGACUCAUCUCAGCAGGCAUUCAACUGCAGCCUUAAACUCAAUCCUAGUGGAAGAAAGUUAACAAUCUCAGUCCUCCAGUGUAGGAAGCAUACAUUCUUAUAAAAUUACAGAUACACACAAGAAAACAUUUCUCCUGUUUCAGUCUGUG